rnacentral:rRNA from 1 species
GACGAACGCUGGCGGCGUGCUUAACACAUGCCAGUCGAACGGAAAGGCCCUGCUUUUGUGGGGUGCUCGAGUGGCGAACGGGUGAGUAACACGUGAGUAACCUGCCCUUGACUUUGGGAUAACUUCAGGAAACUGGGGCUAAUACCGGAUAGGAGCUCCUGCUGCAUGGUGGGGGUUGGAAAGUUUCGGCGGUUGGGGAUGGACUCGCGGCUUAUCAGCUUGUUGGUGGGGUAGUGGCUUACCAAGGCUUUGACGGGUAGCCGGCCUGAGAGGGUGACCGGCCACAUUGGGACUGAGAUACGGCCCAGACUCCUACGGGAGGCAGCAGUGGGGAAUAUGGCACAAUGGGCGGAAGCCUGAUGCAGCAACGCCGCGUGCGGGAUGACGGCCUUCGGGUUGUAAACCGCUUUCGCCUGUGACGAAGCGUGAGUGACGGUAAUGGGUAAAGAAGCACCGGCUAACUACGUG